UACGUAGGGGGCUAGCGUUGUCCGGAAUCAUUGGGCGUAAAGAGCGUGUAGGCGGCCCGGUAAGUCCGCUGUGAAAGUCGGGGGCUCAACCCUCGAAUGCCGGUGGAUACUGUCGGGCUAGAGUGCGGAAGAGGCGAGUGGAAUUCCUGGUGUAGCGGUGAAAUGCGCAGAUAUUAGGAGGAACACCGAUUGCGAAGGCAGCUCGCUGGGACGUAACUGACGCUGAGACGCGAAAGCGUGGGGAGCAAACAGG
rnacentral:rRNA from 1 species